UCAAAUCUGAACCCUAUUCUCUAUGUAGUGCACUAAGGGGAAAUAGGGGUCAAAUCUGAAGCCCUAUUCUCUAUGUAGUGCACUAAGGGGAACGAGGGGUCAAAUCUGAACCCUAUUCUCUAUGUAGUGCACUAAGGGGAUAGUAGGGGUCAAAUCUGAACCCUAUUCUCUAUGUAGUGCACUAAGGGGAACGAGGGGUCAAAUCUGAACCCUAUUCUCUAUGUAGUGCACUAAGGGGAUAGUAGGGGUCAAAUCUGAAGCCCUAUUCUCUAUGUAGUGCACUAAGGGGAUUAGUAGGGGUCAAAUCUGAAGCCCUAUUCUCUGUAGUGCACUAAGGGGAUAGUAGGGCUCCUCACUAUGAAGGGAAUAGUGGGGAAAACACCGGUCGGAUAUUUUGAAGACGAAGCCUUUUUGUUACUGAUACGGUUGUGGUUUUAUACAGUACCAAUGUGAAAGCACAUUGACGAUCUAUAUUCCUUUAAUUAUGAAUGACACGAUGCUUUAUGGAUUCAUCCCAGACUGCUCUCUGUUUUCUACACAGAUGCAGACCUUUGAGGGAAAACUUUUAUACUUUGGGUUUUUGGAAUAAUAAAAAAAUAAAUAAACAUGUUUUGAACAUCUUGUGGUGAACUAAACCGACCGGUAUUGUGUUCUUUAUCAACAUGAAUGUAGUGAACUAAACCGACCGGUAUUGUGUUCUUUAUCAACAUGAAUGUAGUGAACUACACCGACCGGUAUUGUGUUCUUUAUCAACAUGAAUGUAGUGAACUACACCGACCGGUAUUGUGCUCUUUAUCAACAUGAAUGUAGUGAACUAAACCGACCGGUAUUGUGUUCUUUAUCAACAUGAAUGUAGUGAACUAAACCGACCGGUAUUGUGUUCUUUAUCAACAUGAAUGUAGUGAACUAAACCGACCGGUAUUGUGUUCUUUAUCAACAUGAAUGUGGUGAACUAAACCGACCGGUAUUGUGUUCUUAAUCAACAUGAAUGUAGUGAAAUAAACCGACCGGUAUUGUGUUCUUUAUCAACAUGAAUGUAGUGAACUACACCGACCGGUAUUGUGUUCUUUAUCAACAUGAAUGUAGUGAACUAAACCGACCGGUAUUGUGUUCUUUAUCAACAUGAAUGUAGUGAACUAAACCGACCGGUAUUGUGCUCUUUAUCAACAUGAAUGUGGUGAACUAAACCGACCGGUAUUGUGUUCUUUAUCAACAUGAAUGUAGUGAACUAAACCGACCGGUAUUGUGUUCUUUAUCAACAUGAAUGUAGUGAACUAAACCGACCGGUAUUGUGUUCUUUAUCAACAUGAAUGUAGUGAACUACACCGACCGGUAUUGUGUUCUUAAUCAACAUGAAUGUAGUGAACUAAACCGACCGGUAUUGUGUUCUUCAUCAACAUGAAUGUAGUGAACUAAACCGACCGGUAUUGUGUUCUUAAUCAACAUGAAUGUAGUGAACUAAACCGACCGGUAUUGUGUUAAUGUUUUUUUGAGAAGACACUGUAGGUUAAACCCUAUAAGAUAAACCACAGACAAUCCCUACUGUGGGAUUAAUGACACUGUAUUGAUUGAAAAAUAAAUCUGUACAAUUGAAUAAAAAGACUGAAAAACA